AGUGAACGCUGGCGGUAGGCCUAACACAUGCAAGUCGAACGGCAGCACAGUAAGAGCUUGCUCUUACGGGUGGCGAGUGGCGGACGGGUGAGGAAUACAUCGGAAUCUACUUUUUCGUGGGGGAUAACGUAGGGAAACUUACGCUAAUACCGCAUACGACCUACGGGUGAAAGCAGGGGAUCUUCGGACCUUGCGCGAUUGAAUGAGCCGAUGUCGGAUUAGCUAGUUGGCGGGGUAAAGGCCUACCAAGGCGACGAUCCGUAGCUGGUCUGAGAGGAUGAUCAGCCACACUGGAACUGAGACACGGUCCAGACUCCUACGGGAGGCAGCAGUGGGGAAUAUUGGACAAUGGGCGCAAGCCUGAUCCAGCCAUACCGCGUGGGUGAAGAAGGCCUUCGGGUUGUAAAGCCCUUUUGUUGGGAAAGAAAAGCAGCAGGUUAAUACCCCGCUGUUCUGACGGUACCCAAAGAAUAAGCACCGGCUAACUUCGU
rnacentral:rRNA from 1 species